UACGGAAGGUCCCGGCGUUAUCCGGAUUUAUUGGGUUUAAAGGGAGCGCAGACUGCUUGUCAAGCGUGCAGUGAAACGCCGUGGCCCAACCACGGUCCUGCUGCGCGAACUGGCUUGCUUGAGUGGGCCGUAGGUACGCGGAAUUCGUGGUGUAGCGGUGAAAUGCUUAGAUAUCACGAGGAACUCCGAUUGCGAAGGCAGCGUACCAUAUCCCGACUGACGUUUAGGCUCGAAGGUGCGGGUAUCGAACAGG
rnacentral:rRNA from 1 species